UAAGUGGUUGACACUAAGAAUAGCUCAGCACUGAGCUUCAAGAUCAGCACAGUUGAAAACUGGAAUGUAAAGACAGGGGAAAUCAUUUUCGUUUUGAGGUGUAAAGCAUUUGAUUCCUGUUUUAUAAUCUUCCAGAAAUUCAGGCACUAAUAUCAGGCAAUUUAGCAUCCAGCAUUAUUUGUAUAGCAAUCACAAUUCCAAAUGCAGGCUCCACUAGCUUUACAGUGAUAGGAAAUAGGCAGCCAGAAGUCAACUUUAAAGCUAUAAGGAAAAUUAAAGUUAAGUAUUAGAAGGAGGAGGCCAAAAAAAUGUAAAAACAUUGUGGAGGUUAUUAGAAACAUCUCACUCCAUCUGUGAUGUUUACUUCAGCUGUGAAGGUAUUGGAAUCAUAACUGUUAAACCAAGAUGAAGAGAAGCAGCGUUAUGAGGUACAAGAGUGAACUCUGUAGAUAACUGAGAGAUCGAGCCACAACAAAAACGGAAAUUGCUGGAAAAGCUCAGCAGGUCUGGCAACAUCUGUGGAGAGAAAACAAGAGUUUACGUUUUGGGUCGAGUGGGCGCAGAGUGAUUAAUCCAGUUAGUGGAAGCUGAAAUCAACCAAAUGCUGAAACAGAUGUCCUGAGCAAGAUAACCACUCAUGGGAUCUCCUAGUACUUGCUAUUCCUAUCAAGCUGCAGUAGCAGACAAGGGUUAUAUGAGGAGUUUUGCUGCCACCAAUCAAAGAGAAAAAUCUGUAAAAGAGAAACGAACAAAUUGGACGUACUGAAAUUUCAGCUUGAAGUAUACAUACGAUGACUCAUCUUUGGAGCAGGUGGGCCUUGAACCCAGCCCUUCAGGCCCAGAGAUACGGACACUGAACUGCAAAAGCCACCGGCUGUCACUUUUAUGGUCACCUGUGAAUCCUUCUGCUUCACGGAGCUGACUAUCUUCAAUCUGACCAAUGAUAUGGACUAGA